rnacentral:ribozyme from 1 species
GGUGUGCAAUAGACUUACCUCCACGUGGUGCACACUGGGCAACGUAUAUCAUACGGUAAAAAAGUCUAU